GUUGUUGUGUUAGAGGUCUUGUGUUUGAAUCCUUGCGUAAGCGUGGGUGUUAUUUUUACCUCGGUUGGUGGAGAGAGUUUGGAUGGGAGUGGGAGUUUAGGGGGGUGGGUAGUUGAGAUUUAGAUGUUAGUGGGGAGUUGAGAUAUUGUUGUAUCUAUUUUUUUCAAAAAUUUCGGUUCUCUCUCUCUCUCAAAAAUUCUGAUGUCAAUUGUUCUUCGUCUUCGUGGCACUCUCAAUUUUUUUUUCUCUUUUUUUUACCUUUUCUUUUUCCAUUCAAACUAUUUUCGAUCUCUGCGUUGGGUUCUAUCUUCUGUUUGGGUUGUAAUUGGUAAG
rnacentral:lncRNA from 1 species